CCUACGGGUGGCUGCAGUAAGGAAUAUUGGUCAAUGGACGAAAGUCUGAACCAGCCAUCCCGCGUGCAGGAUGAAAGCCCUAUGGGUUGUAAACUGCUUUUAGCAGAGAAGAAAAGCUUUCAUUAAUGAGAGUCUGACGGUAUCUGCAGAAUAAGCACCGGCUAACUCCGUGCCAGCCGCCGCGGUAAUACGGAGGGUGCGAGCGUUACCCGGAGUUACUGGGUUGAAGGCGUAGGUAGACGGAAUUGUUGAAAUCUUGUCGCUUAACGAUAGAAUUGCCAAUGAUACUGGUACUCUUGAAUUGGGUUGAGGUUAGCGGAAUGUGACAUGUAGCGGUGAAAUGCAUAGAUAUGUCAUGGAACACCAAUUGCGAAGGCAGCUAACUGGGCCUUGAUUGACGCUGAGGCACGAAAGCGUGGGUAGCGAACAGGAUUAGAUACCCUAGUAGUC
rnacentral:rRNA from 1 species